ensembl:snRNA U6 U6 spliceosomal RNA
GUGCUCGCUUCGGCAGCACAUACACUAAAAUUGGAACGAUACAGAGAAGAUUAGCAUGGCCCCUGCACAAGGAUGACAUGCAAAUUCGUGAAGCGUUCCGAUGUUUU